UUUGUUUAUUUUUUUGUUGGGUUUUUUUUGUGUUUUUUUGAGAUGGCGUCUCGCUCUGUCACCAGGCUGGAGUGGGGUGGCGCCAUCUCAGCUUACUGCAACCUCCGACUCCCGGGUUCAAGCUAUUCUCCUGGUUCAGCCUCCCGAGUAGCUGGGAUUACAAGCACGUGCCACCAUGCCCAGCUAAUUUUUGUAUUUUUAGUAGAGACGGGGUUUCACCAUGUUGGCCAGGCUGGUGUCGAACUCCUGACUUAAAGUAACCCGCCUGCCUUGGCCUCCCAAAGUGCUUGGAUUACAGGCGCCGAGGCAGGUGGAUCACCUGAGGUCAGGAGUUGGAGAUCAGCCUGGCCAACAGGGCAAAACCUCAUCUCUACUAAAAAUACAAAAAUUAGCUGGGCGUAGUAGUGCAGCUCUGCAAUUCCAGCUACUUGGGAGGCUGAGGCAGGAGGAUCACUUGAACCUGGGAGGCAGAGGCUGCAGUUAGCCAAGGUUGCGCCACUGCACUCUAGCCUGGGCAGCAGAGUAAGACUCCGUUUCAAAAGAAAAAAAAAGCCGGGCACAGUGGCUCAUGCCUGUAAUCCCAGCACUGUGGGAGGCCAAGGCAGGCGGAUCACCUGAGGUCAGGAGUUCGAGUCCAGCCUGGCCAACAUGGUGAAACUAAAAUACAAAAAUUAGCUAGGCGUGGUGGCGGGCGCCUGUAAUCCCAGCUACUCAGGAGGCUGAGGCACGAGAAUCACUUGAACCCGGGAGGCAGAGGUUGCAGUGAACCAAGAUCGUGCCAUUCAUUGCACUCCAGCCUGGACCACAAGAGCGAAAACUCCGUCUCAAAAAAGAAGAGGCUCCAGUAAACAGUAAAUACCAUUCUUACCUAUUCUGAAUAAUUUUGCAAAUGUUAUUUUAGAUUAUUGCUAGAAAACAGCUGAGCUUUAAACUAUAUUUUAGUCUCCAUUCCAUGAAGAGGCUCUUUAAUUCCAAAAGUUAAAACAUUACUCUAAAACCCUCCGAAGUAAAGUUAACCAUAUGACAGAACAAUGUCUUUCUAUCUCGUCAUCUUUUAUCCUCGUUACUGCUAUUUGCGCUCACCAAUAUUCCACACCAACUAAGGCCCCAAUUUCUCUGAUGUGAAGAUUUACUGACAAACUCAACAGGUUAAAAUUACUUAUCAAAGUGUGACUAAGUGAUGAAGAUUUCUUUUAAUACAACUGGUAUGAGUAAAUUUUAACAUAGUUGGUGCUGCUCAAACUGCCUUUGCCACUACCUAUACAAAUUUAGGCCCGACUGAAACGUGCCAAACAUGACCAUUCACGAAAAGAAAGAGUAAUUAACACUUUUAAAAGAACUACAAAGGAUUUUACAUAGUAUAAUUCAACAAUUUCGUGUCACAUCUGCUGCAGAGACCACAAACAUUGUCACUAUGCCAUCUCCUUCCUCGAACCCCCACACCGCCUCCUGCAGCUUUAUUCUUGGCCUUUCAAAGGUUUAAUCCACUCGGUGCUGCUAAAGGAGGAAUCAAGGAAGCAUAAUUUGUGAACCCAAGCUGAGAAAAGGGCAGGAAUACGGGGUUGAGUCACGUCGUUCCGCCAUUUUCUAAGCGGAGGAGGAAGACAUGUUGGAACAAAAACACAACAAAAGAGCAGCCAUUUCCCAAGCCAGCUCCAAUAGCAACUCGAACUGACACUGCCGGGUCGCUUCGGCACCUUCAAAUCCACUUCACUGGACAAACCUAAGUACAUCAGAAGUGCCGCCGUAAAAAAGGCAGCAGCCAACCCUUCCGCGUAGGGAUCAAAGAUGACCUGCACGCAUAACUGCAAAUGAAAGCCUCGGGAAGAGAGAGAAUGACGGUAGCGAAAUGGAGCAGUGUAAUACAAUGAAAUAAGUUGGCAAACUGAAAUUUACUCAGUAAUUGACAUGACUGACUUACAGGAAACCACCAGCUAUAGGGAACCCAGGUAACUAAAACACCAAGACCCGGAUUCAGCUGGUCUCAUUAACUGCCUCUACCCACUUCCCCAUUCCGUGGUUCCCUCAGCGGAUCGCCUAUAUGCACCGGGUUCUUACCGUAUGUGGGGGAUGCCAACCCCACCUUGAAGAAUCUUAUAGAGCUUGCUCUCGUACAGCAACUGGGGAUGCCUGGCCUUCUGAGAUUCUAGCUUCACUGCCACUUCCUGCAGGGGAAAGAGGGGAUGAUGGCAUCAACAUCCCUACGGAUUCAAUGUCACUUAGGAAAGGAGGGAGACAUCAGCAAAACUCCAAGUCGCGACUACAAGGAAGAAGUGAAAAGCUGGAAAGCGAAAGCUCUCGGUAAUUAUAAAACGAGGCAACCAGCCUCAAAGGCCUCUUCAGGGGGUUGUGACGAAAUCCGUACGUCCUCUAAAGUGCAGGAAAAUGAUUCAUCCAGAAAAAAGAGGCAACCUCUGAACGUAGUGAGAGGUUUUUAAGGAACUAGGCGAUCGGAAAUUGUUCUAAUUGGAACAAGAGGCCCAGUAGAAUUAAAAAUUAAAAAAAAAAAAACCAUGGGAAUCACAGAACGAGGAUUUUGCCGUUUCCACCUUAAAAGAUGGUUAAAAAAAAAAAAAGCUCAACUAAGGGACAUUUAUGGGACGUGUUUAACAAGCUGGGAAACUAGUUCCCCCAACCUUUCUAUCGGGUUCUUGACCCUUUUAGGGAGACAGCGGGCGAGGUUCGUAAGCCAGGAAAACUAGCUCCCUGGACUCCCUGGCGAGUGCGUGCGACGAGAAGAGGCCCGAGCACUUUGGGGGUGCGCGGUGGUGGUGGGGGGAAUGAGGAAAAGCGCAGCGUUAUCGUGAACCCCACCCCAGAUGAUUACCUCGCCGUUAGUGAUGUUGAUCGCCAAAUAGAUGUCCCCGAAGGAGCCAGACCCGAUCUUCCGUACCAGUUUAUAUUUCCCUCCGACAAUGAAUUCGGCCUUGGAACCGCUGCUACUCGCCAUCCUGAGAGACGAAGAUGGAGGCUGGGGCCAAGCCCCGACACCUCUGGGAAGAGGACGGAGGCCUCUGGGGCUCCUACACUAGGCAAGGCUACGGAGGAAGUCGGCAGGAAACGGAACACGGAGGCCUUUACCAGCGUUCGGGGCCCAGAAUCAGCAGAGGGGAGCCUGAUCACCGCCGCCCAGUCAGGUUUCUUUUUGCCAGGCCGCAGUUUGUGAAGGGCUUCUCAGCGGUUACCAGGCUGGGCCACUUGUUUCUCGGCGGCCGCCGCUGCCUCGCUUGCGCGGCGACGUCGCGGGCUGGAAAAGGGGCGCGGUGAGCUAGGGCGGCGAUACCGCUGCCACCACUGCCGCCGGCUCCGGCCCAGAGGGACCCCUGUCACUCCGCCGACGACGCCAUCUUGUUACUCCAGCUCCAGCCAACACAAAAUGCCCCCAGUCCCUGGGAGCCGCUUCUUCACGGCGCAGAGCACUCUGGGAAAGGGAUCUCGGGCGCUCACUCCGAAGGAUCGGCAGCGAGAGGGCGGAACCGGAUCCGUGAGAGUCGCGGCCCACGCUCCGAGCGUCACCCUGUCACCGCCCAGCUGCGCAUGAGCGCUGUAACUCCUGCUGACUGCGCAGGCGUGCCGCGGCCUGUCCUCACCCGGUCCCAGGCUCUCUUCCACUUCCGGUCGGCGGCGGCUCAGCCGGUGUUACCUGUCACUCGCCUCGGACCCGCCGGGUCUCUGGAAGGCUGAGUGGCCCCCAGGCCUCGAUAUUGGGAGGAGUCACCUUCAUGUUUCAUGGCAGAUGAAAGCUUAAGGCCUCCUUAGGAGUUGGGAGGGGAAAAAAGAAAGAAGCCGGAAUCCCCCUGCCAUCCUAUGACUUUGCAUUAUUGCCUCACUACCACAUUUGAUCUUCAGAAGAAAACCUGGCAUAUUGUUCAUAAUGAAGAUUAAGGAUAGAUGGAAUCAACAGAAAAUUAAUUAAACAAGAGUGAAAAAACUGUUAUGUCCCCCCAACCCCAUCAAAAAAAUAAAUAAAUAAAAAGAAUCGUAUGUUGGUCAUGUUGAAAACCGCAGUAUUAACCUGAACAGAGUAGAGGUAACUAUUACAAAAUUUAAUUGACAACAUUUAAAACUACACGGUAAUUUUUUUUCUUUUUUACUAAAAAUCGAUCAGAGAAUCCAAUUUUGACCACGUUUUGUUUUACAAAAUUUGACCUGGGAAAAUUGGGCUUAGUAAUAAUAAUGUUCACGAAA